rnacentral:lncRNA from 1 species
UGUGAUCCAAUUUUAUUGGCUACCUUGAUUAUGCAAGUGUUAACUGUGUGUUUUGAUUGCUUGCAAAUUUAUUGGGCAUCAAGGUGGAGAUUUGUUGGGUUUUUGAUACCCAAUAAAUCCCGGGCUAUGAUGUUAACGUGGGUUAAUAUUAUUUCAUAGGCAUAGGCCGAUGAAUGAAAUAAGUCCAACAACCAAGUCCAUGAGCUACACCCG